rnacentral:rRNA from 1 species
ACAAGCGGUGGAGCAUGUGGUUUAAUUCGAAGCAACGCGAAGAACCUUACCAGGUCUUGACAUCCCGAUGCUAUUCUAGAGAUAGAAAGUUACUUCGGUACAUCGGUGACAGGUGGUGCAUGGUUGUCGUCAGCUCGUGUCGUGAGAUGUUGGGUUAAGUCCCGCAACGAGCGCAACCCUCGUCCUAUGUUGCCAGCGGGUCAUGCCGGGGACUCAUGGGAGACUGCCGGGGUCAACUCGGAGGAAGGUGGGGAUGACGUCAAAUCAUCAUGCCCCUUAUGUCUUGGGCUUCACGCAUGCUACAAUGGCCGGUACAAAGGGCUGCGAUACCGCGAGGUGGAGCGAAUCCCAGAAAGCCGGUCUCAGUUCGGAUUGGGGUCUGCAACUCGACCCCAUGAAGUCGGAGUCGCUAGUAAUCGCAGAUCAGCAACGCUGCGGUGAAUACGUUCCCGGGCCUU